AUUGAACGCUGGCGGCAUGCCUUACACAUGCAAGUCGAACGGCAGCACGGGAGCAAUCCUGGUGGCGAGUGGCGAACGGGUGAGUAAUAUAUCGGAACGUGCCCAGUCGUGGGGGAUAACGCAGCGAAAGCUGUGCUAAUACCGCAUACGAUCUAAGGAUGAAAGCGGGGGAUCGCAAGACCUCGCGCGAUUGGAGAGGCCGAUAUCAGAUUAGCUAGUUGGUGGGGUAAAGGCCCACCAAGGCGACGAUCUGUAGCUGGUCUGAGAGGACGACCAGCCACACUGGAACUGAGACACGGUCCAGACUCCUACGGGAGGCAGCAGUGGGGAAUUUUGGACAAUGGGCGCAAGCCUGAUCCAGCAAUGCCGCGUGCAGGAUGAAGGCCUUCGGGUUGUAAACUGCCUUUGUACGGAACGAAACGGCCCUUUCUAAUACAGGGGGCUAAUGACGGUACCGUAAGAAUAAGCACCGGCUAACUACGUGCCAGCCGCCGCGGUAA
rnacentral:rRNA from 1 species